rnacentral:rRNA from 1 species
UACGAAGGUUGCGAGCGUUGUUCGGAAUCACUGGGCUUAAAGCGCAUGUAGGCGGCCCAUCAAGUGCCUUGUGAAAUCCCCCGGCUCAACCGGGGAACUGCUUGGCAUACUGUUCGGGCUUGAGGCAGGUAGGGGCGCGUGGAACUCUUGGUGGAGCGGUGGAAUGCGUAGAUAUCAAGAGGAACGCCGGUGGCGAAAGCGACGCGCUGGGCCUGUCCUGACGCUGAGAUGCGAAAGCCAGGGGA